UGCCAGCCGCCGCGGUAAUACGGAGGGUGCGAACGUUAAUCGGAAUUACUGGGCGUAAAGCGCGCGUAGGUGGUUUAUUAAGUGGGAUGUGAAAGCCCCGGGCUUAACCUGGGAACUGCAUUCCAAACUGAUGAACUAGAGUACGAUAGAGGGGGGUAGAAUUCAGAGUGUAGCGGUGAAAUGCGUAGAUAUUCUGAGGAAUACCGGCGGCGAAGGCGGCCCCCUGGAUCGAUACUGACGCUGAGGUGCGAAAGUGUGCGCAGCAAACAGGAUUAGAUA
rnacentral:rRNA from 1 species